UUUCCACUGCAUACAAAUGAAGUUGAUUGCUUGAGAUAUUAUUAAUAUAUGUUGGGUUGCGGAACUAGGCUCACCGAGUAAACUAGUUACUCAUGACUCAUUUGUGAUGCAGGUAACCAAUAGGCGGGAGACCUUACUCUAGGACGGGAAGGAACAUCAUUAGCCAGCGGUAGUUUUAUUAUCCUUACAAAGUUAUUUUGAUAUAUCUUAUGUAUAAGAUUUGUUGACCGAAAACCUUGAGGUUAAUUUAUAACAAAUUUUGUAAGAUGCUUUUGAUUGAUAUAUAAAGAAUGUUUUUUUUUAAGUACGAGUUCCAUAUGAUAUUAGUCCUUGUCCGGACGAACUAACUAUCGGGUAUUGCUUUGUUGGGUUGAAAAGCCUAGAGUUAUAUCCGAUAGGAGCGUUGGUGUUCUUUGGUUGUUGGUCUAAGGCGAUCGGAAGUAUUCAGAGAACCUUAGAUCGACAAUCGAGGAACAUCGACCGUGUCAUUUCCGGUCAUUGACGAUCAGGGAUGUCACAAAGGUGGUAUCAGAGCAUGGUUAUACGAUGAUAGAAUGGGACUUGUUUCAAAUGUUUUUCGAGUCAAAAUGAGUCGCACGGAUAUGCUGGCUUGUUCCUUUAUUUUAGGAUAGAUAGUCAUGGGUAGUUACCUAACAGUGAUAUUUCAUAGCAGAAGCAAAGUUUUUGGGUUCUGGGGGGAGUAUGGUCGCAAGGCUGAAACUUAAAGGAAUUGACGGAAGGGCACCCCCAGGAGUGGAGCCUGCGGCUUAAUUUGACUCAACACGGGGAAACUUACCAGGUCCAGACAUAGUAAGGAUUGACAGACUGAGAGCUCUUUCUUGAUUCUAUGGGUGGUGGUGCAUGUCCGUUCUUAGUUGGUGGAGCGAUUUGUCUGGUUAAUUCUGUUAACGAACGAGACCUCAGCCUGCUAACUAGCUACGUCGAGGCAUCUCUUCACGGCCGGCUUUUUAGAGGGACUAUGGCCGUUUAGGCCAAGGAAGUUUGAGGCAAUAAGAGGUCUGUGAUGCCCUUAGAUGUUCUGGGCCGCACGCGCGCUACACUAAUGUAUUCAACGAGUUCACACCUUGGCCGACAGGCCCAGGUAAUCUUUGAAAUUUCAUCGUGAUGGGGAUAGAUCAUUGCAAUUGUUGGUCUUCAACGAGGAAUUCCUUGUAAGCGCGAAUCAUCAGCUCGCAUUGACUACGUCCCUACCCUUUGUACACACCGCCUGUUGCUCCUACUGAUUGAAUGAUCCGUCGAAGUGUUCGGAUCGCGGCAACGUGGGUGGUUCGCCGUCUGCAACGGUGCGAGAAGUCCACUAAACCUUAUCAUUUAGGGGAAGGAGAAGUCGUAACAAGGUUUCCGUAGGUGAACCAGCAGAAG
rnacentral:rRNA from 1 species